rnacentral:rRNA from 1 species
UUAAGUUAUUAAGGGCGCACGGUGGAUGCCUUGGCACUAGAAGCCGAUGAAGGACGUUACUAACGACGAUAUGCUUUGGGGAGCUGUAAGUAAGCUUUGAUCCAGAGAUUUCCGAAUGGGGAAACCCAGCAUGAGUUAUGUCAUGUUAUCGAUAUGUGAAUACAUAGCAUAUCAGAAGGCACACCCGGAGAACUGAAACAUCUUAGUACCCGGAGGAAGAGAAAGAAAAUUCGAUUCCCUUAGUAGCGGCGAGCGAAACGGGAAGAGCCCAAACCAACAAGCUUGCUUGUUGGGGUUGUAGGACACUCUAUACGGAGUUACAAAGGACGACAUUAGACGAAUCAUCUGGAAAGAUGAAUCAAAGAAGGUAAUAAUCCUGUAGUCGAAAAUGUUGUCUCUCUUGAGUGGAUCCUGAGUACGACGGAGCACGUGAAAUUCCGUCGGAAUCUGGGAGGACCAUCUCCUAAGGCUAAAUACUCUCUAGUGACCGAUAGUGAACCAGUACCGUGAGGGAAAGGUGAAAAGCACCCCGGAAGGGGAGUGAAAUAGAACCUGAAACCGUGUGCUUACAAGUAGUCAGAGCCCGUUAAUGGGUGAUGGCGUGCCUUUUGUAGAAUGAACCGGCGAGUUACGAUUUGAUGCAAGGUUAAGCAGUAAAUGUGGAGCCGUAGCGAAAGCGAGUCUGAAUAGGGCGUUUAGUAUUUGGUCGUAGACCCGAAACCAGGUGAUCUACCCUUGGUCAGGUUGAAGUUCAGGUAACACUGAAUGGAGGACCGAACCGACUUACGUUGAAAAGUGAGCGGAUGAACUGAGGGUAGCGGAGAAAUUCCAAUCGAACCUGGAGAUAGCUGGUUCUCUCCGAAAUAGCUUUAGGGCUAGCCUCAAGUGAUGAUUAUUGGAGGUAGAGCACUGUUUGGACGAGGGGCCCCUCUCGGGUUACCGAAUUCAGACAAACUCCGAAUGCCAAUUAAUUUAACUUGGGAGUCAGAACAUGGGUGAUAAGGUCCGUGUUCGAAAGGGAAACAGCCCAGACCACCAGCUAAGGUCCCAAAAUAUAUGUUAAGUGGAAAAGGAUGUGGCGUUGCCCAGACAACUAGGAUGUUGGCUUAGAAGCAGCCAUCAUUUAAAGAGUGCGUAAUAGCUCACUAGUCGAGUGACACUGCGCCGAAAAUGUACCGGGGCUAAACAUAUUACCGAAGCUGUGGAUUGUCCUUUGGACAAUGGUAGGAGAGCGUUCUAAGGGCGUUGAAGCAUGAUCGUAAGGACAUGUGGAGCGCUUAGAAGUGAGAAUGCCGGUGUGAGUAGCGAAAGACGGGUGAGAAUCCCGUCCACCGAUUGACUAAGGUUUCCAGAGGAAGGCUCGUCCGCUCUGGGUUAGUCGGGUCCUAAGCUGAGGCCGACAGGCGUAGGCGAUGGAUAACAGGUUGAUAUUCCUGUACCACCUAUAAUCGUUUUAAUCGAUGGGGGGACGCAGUAGGAUAGGCGAAGCGUGCGAUUGGAUUGCACGUCUAAGCAGUAAGGCUGAGUAUUAGGCAAAUCCGGUACUCGUUAAGGCUGAGCUGUGAUGGGGAGAAGACAUUGUGUCUUCGAGUCGUUGAUUUCACACUGCCGAGAAAAGCCUCUAGAUAGAAAAUAGGUGCCCGUACCGCAAACCGACACAGGUAGUCAAGAUGAGAAUUCUAAGGUGAGCGAGCGAACUCUCGUUAAGGAACUCGGCAAAAUGACCCCGUAACUUCGGGAGAAGGGGUGCUCUUUAGGGUUAACGCCCAGAAGAGCCGCAGUGAAUAGGCCCAAGCGACUGUUUAUCAAAAACACAGGUCUCUGCUAAACCGUAAGGUGAUGUAUAGGGGCUGACGCCUGCCCGGUGCUGGAAGGUUAAGAGGAGUGGUUAGCUUCUGCGAAGCUACGAAUCGAAGCCCCAGUAAACGGCGGCCGUAACUAUAACGGUCCUAAGGUAGCGAAAUUCCUUGUCGGGUAAGUUCCGACCCGCACGAAAGGCGUAACGAUUUGGGCACUGUCUCAACGAGAGACUCGGUGAAAUCAUAGUACCUGUGAAGAUGCAGGUUACCCGCGACAGGACGGAAAGACCCCGUGGAGCUUUACUGUAGCCUGAUAUUGAAAUUCGGCACAGCUUGUACAGGAUAGGUAGGAGCCUUUGAAACGUGAGCGCUAGCUUACGUGGAGGCGCUGGUGGGAUACUACCCUAGCUGUGUUGGCUUUCUAACCCGCACCACUUAUCGUGGUGGGAGACAGUGUCAGGCGGGCAGUUUGACUGGGGCGGUCGCCUCCUAAAAGGUAACGGAGGCGCUCAAAGGUUCCCUCAGAAUGGUUGGAAAUCAUUCAUAGAGUGUAAAGGCAUAAGGGAGCUUGACUGCGAGACCUACAAGUCGAGCAGGGUCGAAAGACGGACUUAGUGAUCCGGUGGUUCCGCAUGGAAGGGCCAUCGCUCAACGGAUAAAAGCUACCCCGGGGAUAACAGGCUUAUCUCCCCCAAGAGUUCACAUCGACGGGGAGGUUUGGCACCUCGAUGUCGGCUCAUCGCAUCCUGGGGCUGUAGUCGGUCCCAAGGGUUGGGCUGUUCGCCCAUUAAAGCGGUACGCGAGCUGGGUUCAGAACGUCGUGAGACAGUUCGGUCCCUAUCCGUCGUGGGCGUAGGAAAUUUGAGAGGAGCUGUCCUUAGUACGAGAGGACCGGGAUGGACAUACCUCUGGUGUACCAGUUGUCGUGCCAACGGCAUAGCUGGGUAGCUAUGUGUGGACGGGAUAAGUGCUGAAAGCAUCUAAGCAUGAAGCCCCCCUCAAGAUGAGAUUUCCCAACUUCGGUUAUAAGAUCCCUCAAAGAUGAUGAGGUUAAUAGGUUCGAGGUGGAAGCAUGGUGACAUGUGGAGCUGACGAAUACUAAUCGAUCGAAUACUUAAUCAA